GUCACAGCUACUAUAAAUAGGGCUUUAGGCUGUGAGCGUUCCACCUCUUAGGGGGUGGGGGUAG
rnacentral:ribozyme from 1 species